rnacentral:rRNA from 1 species
CCUACGGGUGGCAGCAGUAAGGAAUAUUGGUCAAUGGACGCAAGUCUGAACCAGCCAUGCCGCGUGAAGGAUGACAGCCCUACGGGUUGUAAACUUCUUUUGUACGGGAAAAAACCUCCGGUCGUGAAUCGGAGCUGAUGGUACCGUAAGAAUAAGCAUCGGCUAACUCCGUGCCAGCAGCCGCGGUAAUACGGAGGAUGCAAGCGUUAUCCGGAUUCAUUGGGUUUAAAGGGUGCGCAGGCGGAAUGGUAAGUCAGUGGUGAAAUCCUACGGCUUAACUGUAGAAUUGCCAUUGAUACUGUCAUUCUUGAGUAUAGUUGAAGUGGGCGGAAUGUGUCAUGUAGCGGUGAAAUGCUUAGAUAUGACACAGAACACCGAUCGCGAAGGCAGCUCGCUAAACUAUCACUGACGCUCAUGCACGAAAGCGUGGGGAUCAAACAGGAUUAGAUACCCUUGUAGUC